UGGGGAAUUUUGGACAAUGGGCGAAAGCCUGAUCCAGCAAUGCCGCGUGUGUGAAGAAGGCCUUCGGGUUGUAAAGCACUUUUGUCCGGAAAGAAAUCCUUGGCUCUAAUACAGUCGGGAGAUGACGGUACCGGAAGAAUAAGCACCGGCUAACUACGUGCCAGCAGCCGCGGUAAUACGUAGGGUGCAAGCGUUAAUCGGAAUUACUGGGCGUAAAGCGUGCGCAGGCGGUUUGCUAAGACCGAUGUGAAAUCCCCGGGCUCAACCUGGGAACUGCAUUGGUGACUGGCAGGCUAGAGUAUGGCAGAGGGGGGUAGAAUUCCACGUGUAGCAGUGAAAUGCGUAGAGAUGUGGAGGAAUACCGAUGGCGAAGGCAGCCCCCUGGGCCAAUACUGACGCUCAUGCACGAAAGCGUGGGGAGCAAACAGGAUUAGAUACCCUGGUAGUCCACGCCCUAAACGAUGUCAACUAGUUGUUGGGGAUUCAUUUCCUUAGUAACGUAGCUAACGCGUGAAGUUGACCGCCUGGGGAGUACGGUCGCAAGAUU
rnacentral:rRNA from 1 species